rnacentral:misc_RNA from 1 species
AACGCACAUUGCGCUCUCUGGUAUUCCGGAGAGCAUGCUUGUUUGAGUAUCAGUAAAACACCCUCAGCCUUUUCUUUAUUGAAAAGGCUGGACUUGAGUGAUCCCAACGGUUUUUUUUAAAGGCUGGCGGGUUGCUUGAAAUGCAGGUGCGGCUGGACACAUCUUCUGAGCUAUAAGCAUUACCUAUUUAGUCCCGUCAAACGGAUUAUUUCUAUUGCUACAGCUAAUAUAAAGGUUGAUUGUCCUGUGCCCGACUGAUGCAGGAAAACAUGGAGAAAUCCUUGUUCAACUCGAUCUCAAAUCAAGUAAGACUACCCGCUGAACUUAA